AUGACGUCAAGUCAUCAUGGCCCUUACGACCAGGGCUACACACGUGCUACAAUGGCGCAUACAAAGAGAAGCGACCUCGCGAGAGCAAGCGGACCUCAUAAAGGGCGUCGUAGUCCGGAUUGGAGUCUGCAACUCGACUCCAUGAAGUCGGAAUCGCUAGUAAUCGUGGAUCAGAAUGCCACGGUGAAUACGUUCCCGGGCCUUGUACACACCGCCCGUCACACCAUGGGAGUGGGUUGCAAAAGAAGUAGG
rnacentral:rRNA from 1 species